CGAAACCAGGAUAGACACAAGUGGUCUCCUGACAAGUCAGAUGACAACCUCCAGUGACAUAAAAGAAACUGUGAAUGAAACAUCACACCAGUCACCUGGUUAUGUGUGUGAAGCUCUUCAACUAGAGGAAAUCAGGUGCUGGCCAAAGAGACAGAGGUGAAGGCGCCUCCGGGGGACUGCUGAUAUUGCUUCAACUAAGGCAGAGUCACGAUGCCCAUGUGCACCAGCCAGUUGGAUACUCUCAGCUGGGACCCCAUCAUCAACAGAUAAAGAGCAACUGAUGCUGACCAAAAAGAUGGGGACA